AAAUAAUAAAAUAAUAAAUAAAAAUCGAGCAAUCAAUGAAAAGUUGACGUAGGCAAAAAGAAAAAGUUGAAAAAAUUCGAAUAAACGAGAAAAUAGAAUAUAACAGUAUCAUAUGUAGCUGAUAUUAUUCAGACCGCGCCACUUAAUAGGCCGCGGCACACAAAUGAGCCGGUAAAGCUGGUUAAGCUCCACAUAAAUGCACAGAUAAAAUAAAUGAGCACCUGAACAAUUCAACAGCUGAGCAGGCGGAAAGAUUGCUACAUUUAUCUGCAUAUAAAAUACCAAAAAAAAAAGCACACACAAAAUGGAAAAACGAUUGGCCGCCUCGAAAACUGGACAAGUGUUCGAAGACUUGACGACGACGUGCUUCAGAUGAUGCAAACAAGUGCUACAACACAAUGUGCUGCUGAUUAUUUGGUCUAAAUGUCUGUAUCUUCUUUCACAAAAACGAAGAAGAAAUAUUAAUAAUGACUCUGCAAACACACCUUCCAUUUGUUACCAGUCAAAUAAAUCAUGAAUGAAAUUCCUACAACUUAAAUGGUGUGCACAUGUAUACCUAUGUACUUUUCUAUAUACAUAUUCAUUAUUCCGCCUGCUUGUGUUGAUUUUUAUAUUUGAAACACGGGAUAUUAAGUACGCCACGAAGAAGGCAUCACACAGAAGGAAGCAUCGGAGGUCCUAUAAAUUAUGUACCUUAAACUUUGAGAAUGUUUUCGUGGAAAAAAUCAUUAUGACAAUAGUCGAAAUACGUCGAAAAGAGACAGCAUAAAUUUCCAUAGAAGUUUCGAGAAGUUGUGAAAUAUCUAUGUAGCUGUUAUCCCGUGCAAUAAACCAAAAGUGUUGCGUGCUGCUGUGCAAUAACUAUUUUUGUGUUAAAAAAAUAAAUCAAUAACGAUGGAGUUUUCAAAUAUAAUAUACGAAAAAAAUUAUUAAGUUUCAAAUAAAAUUAAAUUUUUAGUUAAUUUUCAUUUUUAUUUAGGCAUUUUUAAAUUCCGAAUUAUUCACGAACUGGAGAAACACGUACAGCACAGCUUUUGAGAGGAGCAAGCACGGAAUUAAUCGAAAAUUUCUUUUCAUGACCUAGUAUGUAAUUAUAUUUUUGUUACUAUCCUUUUUUAUAUUA